UGGGGAAUUUUGGACAAUGGGCGAAAGCCUGAUCCAGCAAUGCCGCGUGUGUGAAGAAGGCCUUCGGGUUGUAAAGCACUUUUGUCCGGAAAGAAAUCCUUGGCUCUAAUACAGUCGGGGGAUGACGGUACCGGAAGAAUAAGCACCGGCUAACUACGUGCCAGCAGCCGCGGUAAUACGUAGGGUGCAAGCGUUAAUCGGAAUUACUGGGCGUAAAGCGUGCGCAGGCGGUUUGCUAAGACCGAUGUGAAAUCCCCGGGCUCAACCUGGGAACUGCAUUGGUGACUGGCAGGCUAGAGUAUGGCAGAGGGGGGUAGAAUUCCACGUGUAGCAGUGAAAUGCGUAGAGAUGUGGAGGAAUACCGAUGGCGAAGGCAGCCCCCUGGGCAAGUACUGACGCUCAUGCACGAAAGCGUGGGGAGCAAACNGGAUUAAUACCCUGGUAGUCCACGCCCUAAAANGAUGUCAACUAGUUGUUGGGGAUUCAUUUCCUUAGUAACGUAGCUAACGCGUGAAGUUGACCGCCUGGGGAGUACGGUCGCAAGAUU
rnacentral:rRNA from 1 species